rnacentral:snRNA from 1 species
GUGCUCACUUUGGCAGCACACGGAAUGAUACAGAGAAGAUAGCAUGGCCCCCGGGCAAGGAUGACACACAAUUCAUGAGUGUUCCAUAUUAUA